rnacentral:hammerhead_ribozyme from 1 species
AUCCAGAUGACGAGUCCGAAAAUGGGACGAAAUGUGCAUCUUGGAU